UAUGGAUCCUGUAGCCCGACGUGGAGUGGUGUACAGCCGCUGAAGAGUCCCGCCGACACCGCUAGAGGCCAGCAGCGGACUCCUGCUGACUGGAGUCAACAAUCAUGGUCACCUCUUCACGUUUCCUGUUUGCCUGCAGCAGGAUUACACAAAAAGCACUGAGAGGAUUUCCACCAAACUUGGUGGAAGGACAGAACAUGGACCAAAAAAGUUACAUUUCAGUGCAGAGGAAUUUGUUUUCACUUUCUUUAACAUUGCAAAAUAGGAUGUUAAUUUUCACCAAUUUUCAAAGGAAUAAUUCAUGGAUCAUGAUGAAAUAAAUCAGGCAUAUUUAGUGAACUGAUAUCUAUGAGAUUUGGUGCAUUUUGACUGAUUCUAAGGGAAAUGUUAUAAGGGUUAUAAGUGUUGCAUUUUGAAUUGAGAAAAAACAACAACAAUACAUUAUAAUAUUUUUUCACACAAUAAAAUUCCACUAAAUCUGUUAACUACCUGUCAAAUAUUUUGGCAAUCCUCAUCUCUCCGCGUCCCUUUCUCAAGCUAAUCCGCGUGGUGGAGGCGUGGGCCAGGAUGUGUCCACCGAUUGGCUUCUUGGGAUCAGCUUGAAACCUUGAAAAGGGAAGAAAUUAAAAUGUUCUCAACAAUUUGUUCAAAACAAUUUAGAAGAGAAUGAGUGAAUUUGCCAUGUCUUACGUCAUUCCUGCUCCAGGAUCGGCUGUCAUUUGGUUGGUGAUGAACACGGCUACAUUGUACUCUAAGAUAUCUUCUGCAGCCUGGAGAGCAUCUGCGCUAAUUUCUGCUGCCGCUCAGCCAGUUCUCCUCGACCAGAGAAAUCUACUCUGAACAGAGCCAUAAUGGAGUCGAUGAUCUGGCAACAAGGAGGAAAAGAAAAAAGGAGACUCGCAGGCAGAAAGUCAGGAAGGAAUCCUACUUUUAGAAUCUGAUCUGCCUGAUCUUUAACACUUUCCCACAUUCCCUUGAAAACGAAGCAAAAAUGUUUAUUCUGAAUCUCCAACCACUGCAGUGAGUAAAACCAAAGGAAUGAUGAAUAUGUGACAACAUUCUUUACAGUUUACUCACCAACAGUUUAAACACUCCUCCCUCCUCGUGGAAUUUGGCUGCAACAAAGUCCAACAACUCCAUCUGGUGUUCACCUGAGGAGAGAGCUCAAAAACUUGACACAAAAACGAGUGACACAGCAAAAUAUUACAACCUCACCAGGAGAUAGAUUUUCAACAGAAACUGCUUUUGCACACCACAGAUGUGGUGUAAAUGUUGUGUACUGUAUGUUCGCACUGGUGUAGGCUCGAGCAUAAAGCACGUUGUCCAGCACAGCAUCGUGGUCCACGCUAAACCUGUCGGCGAUGUCUUUCAGUCUGUCUGGACGACUGAAACCACACAAGUACAAGUCAAGGACAAUGUCAAAUAAGUGAAAGCAUGGUUACAUUGUUACACGCACUAAAGAAACAUUGUUAUUUUUAAGACAUGUUCUAAAUUACUUAGUCAAGAAAUAUAAAACAUGUUCAUAUGUAAUUGUAUGUUUUUUUCUGAGAUUCAGUAAAUUUCCACAAUAAAUGUGUGGUAUGGUUUCUCAGUACCUUUGUUAGUAACAGGGGAAAUUCAGUUUCACAGAACUGCACAUCCACAAACCACUUCCCAUGAAACCAUGAAACCAACAAUGGUUUCAUAAGACACUAAUAACACUGACAUGAAACAUUGACUGAUAGUUAAGAGCUGGGUUAGUGGCAGGAAGUUUUAUUAAGUGUUGCUAUGGCUACUAAACUUCUGCCAAAGUGCGCUCUGUUGCAUCUUGUUGAUCUGUACCUGUGUCCUGAUGGCAUUAUGUCAAAGUCUUUUGUCCUGUUUGUGACAGAGAGCAUAUAUGUAAUAAACAAGUUGAGCAGUAAA